CACAAGCUAAGCCUGUUCAGUCACCUUCUACACAGUACAUCUCCACAGCCAAGCAGCUAUUGCUACUAUGGUUGGUCUGCGUUUGGGAGAACCACCAGGGAAAUGCAGUGGACCUAGAAGCUGGCUCCAGAUAUAAGGUCUAGAAAGAAUCCAAGAGGCAACCAAGAAAGAAGUAGCAAAGGAGGAGAGAGAAAAGAAAACUUGUUAGGAACCCAGGAUUAAAGGAACAACACAGCAGCAGAACAUCUUACGAACCCUAACACAAUAAGGUGACCCAACCUAGCCACUCAAGAGAAUUCAGGUGGGCUUAUUCUUCCACCACACUGAACUGUAAUGCCAAUGAAAACUGAUGAAUGCAUAGCAAGUACCAGGAUGGAUGGCAGCAGUGGCAAGGGGUAUUCCAGUACAACAAAUGCCCAGCACAGAAAGCCUCUUUUUUUGGCACAGACUUGAGAGUCUUAUCACUCACUCAGAGACACAGGGUAUCCAAGCCUAACUUGCAAAAGAACAACAUUUAACCCUCUAACAAGUGGCCUGACUUGAGAAGCCUCUUGAUCCCAGAGGAUCUGAGACUACCUUCCUCAAUGAAAGUAACUAGGUAUCAAGGCCAAGAUUUCACCAAAUAAAGGAACAUUGUCCAUUAAGUCCCGAAUCUCCCAAUAUCCAUUCAAAAACACCAGGUAGCUAAAAGGCACUCAUAGAAAUGAUCCCAACACAAGAACCACCUCUCCUUGGAAGUGCUCUAGCUCCUCUACUUGUAGGAGGUGCUCUACCCCAACAAGUUCCAAAUCUUGGAAGGACUCAAC